rnacentral:misc_RNA from 1 species
GUAGGUGAACCUGCGGAAGGAUCAUUAUCGAAUAAACUUGAACAGGCUGUUUUUUUGCUGGCCCUUGAAAGAGGGCAUGUGCACGCUUGUCCAUCUUUGUCAUUUCUCCAAACUGUGCACAUACUGUAGACCCUGGGGGGAGCAUUAUGAAUGAAUGAAUUUCCAUUCGAGUUGGGGAUUGCUGCGCUUACAAAAGAAAAAGUCGGCUUUCCCUUGUAUUUUUUCAGGUCUAUGUUGUUUCUCACAACCUCUAUAACAUGUUUAGAAUGUUGAAUCAAGGUCUUUGUACCUAUAUAAAAAGUUAAUACAACUUUCAGCAACGGAUCUCUUGGCUCUC